GUAGGGUGCGAGCGUUAAUCGGAAUUACUGGGCGUAAAGCGUGCGCAGGCGGUUAUGUAAGACAGUUGUGAAAUCCCCGGGCUCAACCUGGGAAUUGCAUCUGUGACUGCAUAGCUAGAGUACGGUAGAGGGGGAUGGAAUUCCGCGUGUAGCAGUGAAAUGCGUAGAUAUGCGGAGGAACACCGAUGGCGAAGGCAAUCCCCUGGACCUGUACUGACGCUCAUGCACGAAAGCGUGGGGAGCAAACAGGAUUAGAUACCCUGGUAGUCCCACGCCCUAAACGAUGUCAACUGGUUGUUGGGUGCAUUAGUACUCAGUAACGAAGCUAACGCGUGAAGUUGACCGCCUGGGGAGUACGGCCGCAAGGUUG
rnacentral:rRNA from 1 species